UAGGGAAUCUUCCACAAUGGGCGAAAGCCUGAUGGAGCAACGCCGCGUGUGUGAUGAAGGGUUUCGGCUCGUAAAACACUGUUGUAAGAGAAGAAUGACAUUGAAAGUAACUGUUCAAUGUGUGACGGUAUCUUACCAGAAAGGAACGGCUAAAUACGUGCCAG
rnacentral:rRNA from 1 species